GACGAACGCUGGCGGCGUGCCUAACACAUGCAAGUCGAGCGAGUGAAUCUCCUUCGGGAGUGAAGCUAGCGGCGGACGGGUGAGUAACACGUGGGCAACCUGCCUCAUAGAGGGGAAUAGCCUUUCGAAAGGAAGAUUAAUACCGCAUAAGAUUGUAGCUUCGCAUGAAGUAGCAAUUAAAGGAGCAAUCCGCUAUGAGAUGGGCCCGCGGCGCAUUGGCUAGUUGGUGAGGUAAAGGCUCACCAAGGCGACGAUGCGUAGCAGACCUGCGAGGUUGAUCGGCCACAUUGGGACUGAGACACGGCCCAGACUCCUACGGGAGGCAACAGUGGGGAAUAUUGCACAAUGGGGGAAACCCUGAUGCAGCAACGCCGCGUGAGUGAUGACGGCCUUCGGGUUGUAAAGCUCUGUCUUCAGGGACGAUAAUGACGGUACCUGAGGAGGAAGCCACGGCUAACUACGUGCCAGCAGCCGCCGUAACAC
rnacentral:rRNA from 1 species